rfam:Hymenolepis microstoma genomic scaffold, pathogens_HYM_scaffold_0004
UUUAGCUACGGUGAUAUUGUUCCGGUGACGGCGAUGGGGAAAAUAUUCGGGGGAAUUUGCUCACUUUCCGGAGUCCUCGUCAUUGCUCUGCCAGUUCCCGUUAUUGUCUCCAAU